CUGAGCCAGCCGGCUCCUGCCCUGGCUUUGGGGGAAGUGCACGAGACGAGACUGAAGGAAAGGAUUGCUGCCAUCACCACCCCUGCCACAGAGAGGACGGGAGAAUGAGGCCAAACAGAGUGAAGAGGAACCCCAGAGGUGACAACAGGAGCCUGAUGACACAAGACCCAGUGGGUCAGUUUGUGCCUAGAGCCAGCUCCCACCCAGUUGCCUCCCUUCUGUGCUGUCUUUGCUUAGCUCACUGGGCUCCGAAGGAGGCCUCAUUGGGGCAGAUCUUUCUUUGUCUGUGUCUCUUCAGGGGAGGGUGACGCCUCUGUGCAGACCACACCAGUGACUUGCUUAACACCGUCUCCUGACCUGUGCUAUUAUGGGUUGACUGUGUCAAAAACUCAACCCAAGUCCCAACCCCCAGUAGCUAAGGGUGUGACCUUAUUUGGAGGCAGGAACUUUACAGAGAUCAACAAGUUAAAUCAAGGUCCUUAGGUGGGGGCCAACCCCACCCACUGGCCUUUAUGGAAAGGGGACAUGUGAACAUGGAUGAGCGCCCAGGAAGGGCAUCAUAUGAGGAUGAUGCUGAGGGACGCAUCCACAAGCCACUGAACCCACAGGUGCCAGUGGAGAGGAGAGGAGGGGACACUUGCCCUCACUGCCAGGGAACCAGCUCCGCCAACACGUCGGGCCUGGACUUCUGGACUCCAUCGCAUGAGACAACCCCUGUCUGCUGUAAGAGUCCCCAACCCAGGGGACAGGAAGCCUGCCACCACCAGCAACCUGGGCCUGCACGGGACACCUCAGAGCACCGCAGCCGCCUCCCGACUCCCCCAGGGGUGUUCAGCUGCUUGAGGAAGACAUCGAUCAGACCCCAACGCACCACUGGCCCAGGCAGUGCACAGGCUCAGCACCAGCUGGGGCCACUUUCCUUACAGGGACGUCACACCUGUGUGACCCAGGGUUUCAACAGCUGGUGUGAUAAAAAUAAAAUUAAACCCCCAAAGUUUUACCCUUGGGGGAAACUGAGCAAAGGGUAUGGGUCAUCUCUGCGUUAGUUCUUGCAGCUGCUGUGAAUCCACAACUAUCCCCAACUAAAUUUUCUACUAAAAACUUCUUUAAAUGUUCCAUUUAAAAAAAAAAAAAGCAAGUCCAUCAAUAGAUGAACGGAUUGAGAAACUGUGGUGUACACACACUGGGGUUCUGCUCAGCUAUGAAGGAGGAGGAGGUUGUGGCAUUUGCUGGUGAAUGGAUGGAAAUGGAGACCAUCGCGCCACGUGAAACAAGCCAGACCCAGAAACUCAAAGGUGAGACGCUUCCUCUCAUAUGUAGCAACUAGAGUAUACCAAGGAAAGGAGGGAAGGCCGAAGACAUGAAGAUGCGGGAAGAUCAGUGUGGAGGCAGCAUGGAGGGGCAGAACAGGGGAGGAGACGAGGAACAAAUUCUCAAAAACCAAUGUUAUGUGCAUAAAUAGAUACCCCUCAGGGAACUUCACCUUGUGUAUAAGUGAAAAGAAACAACCAAAAACUAAUAAGUAGACAAGCGAAAGGAAGUCUAGACCAGGGGUGGGGGGAGGACAGGAAGGAAAAGUGGGGGGAUCGCGAACUGAAACCGAGUCCCACACAGGUAUGAUGUUGUCAGGAUGGACCCAACCACUCUGUGUGACUGUCAUGGUCCAAUAAGAAAAAAAGCAAGUAACGCACGGUACAGGACCAAUACAGAGUUCCACAAAAUCACCUGGGAAUGAAGGCAGCCAUGCUCAAUCUGACUUCAAGAGUUGGAAAGACUGUUCAGGGCCUGUACACCAUCCAGCUGGGAUCAGCUGUCUAGCUGAGCAUGGGUAAAUGCCUGUAAUCCCAGCAAGUCAGGAGGCUGAAGCAGGAGGAUCACAAGGUCAAGCCCAGCCUCAGCAAUAUGGAAGACCCUAAGGAACUUAGCAAGAUUCUUUCUCAAAACGAAGAACAAAAGGGGCUGGGGAUGUGGGUUCAUUCCCCAGUACCAUAGAAAGAAGGAAGGAAGGAAGGAAGGAAAGAAGGAAUCAGCUAUAGGUCUAGCUAUGGUUCCUCUGAAAAAGUUGUUUUCUGGCUACUUUUACAUCCUUUCUUGACCUUGUGUGUGUACUGGCCAGUUCUCUACUGUGGGACCCUAACCCCUAUCUGACCUGCAGUUCUCCAUAAUCAAGUUUCUUAGGGCAAAAGAAUCCAUGGGAUCAAAAUAAGCAGAUCAUCCUGCUUGGACCUGACUCUGCUGAGUUUCCAUGGACGACUAAAGAAAGCAACUGAAGCAGACACACCCACUGAGCCCCUGAACUUCACGAAACAGCCACAAGCCUAAAGUGAAAACCAGAAUUCAGCUUCCAAAAGGCAGUCAGUGGUAUCAAGGGCUGUCCAAACAGACCAACUGAAAUUCAAAUGGAAUCAAACCAUGAACCAUGUGAUAGACACAGUCAGGAUCACUGAAGGCAUCUGUGUCCUAAUUCCUGUAACCUGUGAAUACGAUGUUACCUUCAACAGCCAAAAGGACUUUGUGGAUGUGAUAAAGUUGAGGAUCUGGACAUGGGGAAAUUAGCCUAGAAAAAUCACGUUGUUUGCAAGGACAAGUAGCUGAUCUGGGUGGAGCAAUUUGAUCAGAGGAUCCAAAAACAUGAAAAGGGGAGGCAUGAGAGUCAGAGAAAGAGAGUGGUUAAGAAAAGCAGGGCUGGGGUGAUACAGCCCAGAAAAAGACUCAACCCGCCACUGCCAGCUUUGAAGGAGGAGGAAGGGGUCACGAACCAAAGGAUACAGUGGACUCCAGGAGCUUUAAAAAGUAUGGAAACAGAUUAACCCUGAAGCCCACAGAAAAUGCAGCCCUGACAACACCCUGCUUUUAGACUAGUAAGACCCCUUCAGACUUCAGACGUCCAGGGCUGCCAUGUUCUGUGGUCAUUGUUACAGCAGCAAUAAGAAACUAAUACAGACCACCACACAGGAGCAAUUUCCAAACUCCCAUUUGUGAGUCAAUGAUGUGCAAGAAAACAUUUGUUCUAGACAAACAGUGCUCUUUAAUCAAAAGUAGGUGAGAAAUACCAGAAUGAAUCCCUUGUAGAAUAAAGUAAAUAUUCCUUGGUGUCA